CAGCUAGGAUGUUGGCUUGGAAGCAGCCAUUCAUUUAAAGAGUGCGUAACAGCUCACUAGUCGAGUGCUUUGGCGUGGAUAAUAAUCGGGCAUAAGCUAUUUACCGAAGCUGUGGGAUGUGUAAACAUCGGUAGGGGAGCAUUCUAGCGACGCUGAAGGUGAGAGGACAACUCUUGCUGGAGUUUCUAGAAAAGCAAAUGUAGGUAUAAGUAACGAUAAAGGAGGUGAGAAACCUCCUCGCCGAAAGACUAAGGUUUCCUGAUCAACGCUAAUCGGAUCAGGGUUAGUCGGGGCCUAAGGGGCAGCCGAACGGCGGACCCGAUGGAAGAACCGGUUAAUAUUCCGGUACUAAUUAUGUGAGCGAUGUGGAGACGGAGAUGUGACGGUCCUGCCACCUGACGGAAUAGGUGGUUGAAGGGUGUAGGAGUUGAUCUGAGUAGGCAAAUCCGCUCGGAGAUCCGAACCUGACAGUACUCUGAGUGCUUGCACAAGGAGAUAUGGACAACUGUAACGGUGCUCCCAAGAAAAUCCGCUAAGCAUAUUGCAUGAUUACCCGUACCAUAAACCGACACAGGUGGUUGGGUUGAGUAUACUAAGGCGCUCGAGUGAUUCGCGGUUAAGGAACUAGGCAAAAUAGUCCUGUAACUUCGGAAUAAAGGACGCUCACAGUGAAGGCUGUGAGCCGCAGAGAAUAGGCCCAGGCGACUGUUUAACAAAAACACAUGGCUAUGCUAAAUCGAAAGAUACUGUAUAUAGCCUGACACCUGCCCGGUGCUGGAAGGUUAAGAGGAGAUGUCAUCGCAAGAGAAGCAUUGAAUUGAAGCCCCAGUAAACGGCGGCCGUAACUAUAACGGUCCUAAGGUAGCGAAAUUCCUUGUCGGGUAAGUUCCGACCUGCACGAAUGGUGUAAUGAUCUGGACACUGUCUCAACCAUGAUCUCAGUGAAAUUGUAGUAUCGGUGAAGAUGCCGAUUACCCGCGAUGGGACGAAAAGACCCCGUGAACCUUUACUACAGCUUAGCAUUGACCUUGGUCAUCCGAUGUGUAGGAUAGGCCGGAGGCUUUGAAGCAUGCACGCCAGUGUGUGUGGAGCCAUCCUUGAAAUACGGCCCUUUGGCUGUCUGAGGUCUAACACGUAAUUUCGUGGACAUUGUUUGGUGGGUAGUUUGACUGGGGUGGUCGCCUCCAAAAGCGUAACGGAGGCUUCCAAAGGUGCCCUCGGGCCGAUUGGUAACCGGCCUUAUAGAGUGCAAUGGCAUAAGGGCGCUUGACUGGGAGGCAGACAUGCCGAGCAGGCAGGAAACUGGGGCAUAGUGAUCCGGCGGAUGUGUAUGGAAACUCCGUCGCUCAAAGGAUAAAAGGUACUCCGGGGAUAACAGGCUGAUCCCCCCCAAGAGCUCAUAUCGACGGGGUGGUUUGGCACCUCGAUGUCGGCUCGUCACAUCCUGGGGCUGGAGAAGGUCCCAAGGGUUGGGCUGUUCGCCCAUUAAAGUGGCACGCGAGCUGGGUUCAGAACGUCGUGAGACAGUUCGGUCUCUAUCUGUUGUGGGCGUUUGAGAUUUGAGGGGGCCUGACACUAGUACGAGAGGACCGUGUUGGACGAACCGCUGGUUUAUCGGUUAUGCCGCCAGGCGUAUUGCCGAGUAGCUACGUUCGGUUGAGAUAAGUGCUGAAAGCAUCUAAGUACGAAGCUUGCCUCAAGAUUAGAUCUCAUUAAGGGUGGUUAUAGACGAUGACCUUGAUAGGCUACAGGUGUAAAGGCGGUGACGUCAUAGCCGAGUAGUACUAAUUGCCCGAAAGUUUUUGCC
rnacentral:rRNA from 1 species